UAAUAUACUAUUUUAGUGUGGAGUGAAUGCCUUGGAAGAAAAAUAUAGGCGCGGACAAUCGCGAAAGUGUUGACACGAGGAAAGCCUGUGACGUCAACCAACCUAAAAUGGGAAACCGGGGCUAAAAAGCCCGCUGCUUAGGCAGUAUCAAGGGGAAGUGAAACAUCUCAGUACCCUGUAGACCAAAUCAACCGAGAUAUCGUUAGUAGUGGUGAGCGAAAGCGAUAAAAAGGCAAAACGAAAAUUUUAUUAUUAAGAAUGAAAAGAAGUUUUGUUUUUCAAUGAAAUUUCUACCUUAGAAGGUGUUAGUCCUGUAAUUCUUUUUUUUUUUCGUGAAAGUAAGACGAGGCAAGUUUACCUUGUCUGAGUAUUGGGGGACCACCCUCAAAGCCUAUAGUUAUUUUUCUUACCGAUAGUGAACAAGUACCGUGAGGGAAAGGUGAAAAAGAAGUUGCGACAGUGCAAAGAUCCUGAAACUCCAUAUUUGAGUCGGAGCUAUAAAAAGCAACGGCAUACCUUUUGUAUAAUGGGCAAGUGAAUCUUAAUAAAGGGCAAGCUUAAGCUAAUAAAAGUGUAGGCGAAGAGAAAUCGAGUCCUAUGUGGCAUCCUAAAGUCCUUUGUUAAGUACCCGAAACCGGCUGAUCUAAACUUGAGCAGGCUGAUAUUGUAGUGGCAACAUUCUUUGGAGGGCCGAACCCGUGUAUGUGGCAAAAUACUGGGAUGACUUGAGUUUAGGGGUGAAAGGCCAAUCAAAGUCGGUGAUAGCUGGAUUUCUGCGAAAUCUAUUGAAGUAGAGCGUCCUAAACAGUAAAUCUGGGGUAGAGCACUGUAUAAGCAAGGGGGAGAUCUUCUCUUACUAAACUUUGGCAAACUCCGAAUACAGAUUUUUCAUUUAGGGCAGACAGAGUAUGUAUGCUAAGAUUCAUACUCAAGAGGGAAACAGCCCAGACUGUAGGCUAAGGUCCACAAAAUAGUUUCAGUGGUAAAGGUGAUAUCUGCUCUGAGACCGUCAGGAGGUAGGCUUGGAAGCAGCCAUCCUUUUAAGACAGCGUAACAGCUCACUGACCUAGAGUAGAAGUCCCGCCAAUUUUGAGGGCUUAAAACUAUUACCGAAGCCUCAGACAAAAAUGUUAAGAUAAUUAAAAACUCUUAUAUUUUGUGGUAGCAGAACAUUCCGUAGGUCGUAGAAGUUUUGACGUAAGUUAAGAUCAAGAUAUCGGAAGCGAGAAUACUUGCAUGAGUAGCAUAAAACAAUGAAAUUAAAGCAUUGUGGCCGUAAGUCCAAGGUUUACGAUCUUAAGUAAAACUGGGUCGUGAGAGGGUAACACCUCGAUUUAAAACGGUCCCUAAGCUGUUAAGCCAAAGCUUGCAGUAAUGGGUAAGAUUAAACUGUUAAAAGUUGCUGACGAAAAAUUCACCUUAUUCUUGAAUUUGUCAAGAGUGAGUUAUUUUUUCCAAGAAAAAGGCACUUUAUUUAUACCGUACCUUAAACCGCCUCAGGUGGACGGGUGGAGAACACUAAGGCCUUGAGAUAACCCUGUUGAAGGAACUCGGCAAAAUGACUCUGUAACUUCGGAAUAAGGAGUAAAGGCAUGUAGCGCAAGCUUUUGUCUUUGUCACAAAAUCGGGGGUGGCGACUGUUUAUUAAAAACACAGGUCUCUGCUAACUCGCAAGAGGAUGUAUAGGGACUGACACCUGCCCGGUGCCGGUAGGUGAAGCUUUGAUGUUUACGCAUUGAGGUCAAACCCCGGUAAACGGCGGCUGUAACUAUGACGGUCCUAAGGUAGCGAAAUUCCUUGUCGGGUAAGUUCCGACCCGCAUGAAUGGUGUAACGACUUCCCCGCUGUCUCCAACAGGGACUCAGUGAAAUUACAUAGGUCGUGAAGAUGCGACCAUCCCACAGCUGGACGGAAAGACCCCGUGCACCUUUACUAUAAGCAAAUAUUGUAGGUCAAAGACUCUAGUGUAGAAUAGGUGGGAGCUUAUAAUUCUUUCUCGUCAGAGUCUGAUGAGGCGAUAGUGAAAUACCACCCCGAGAUCUGUUGGCUUACUAACUAAGGGACAGUGUUUGCUGGGUAGUUUGACUGGGGCGGUCGCCUCCUAAAGAGUAACGGAGGCAUACAAAGGUAGGUUCAUCUCCUUCUAAGGGGAAUUGAGUAUAAUGGUAUAAACCUGCUUGACUGAAAGAAAGACAUUUCGAUCAGAGACGUAAGUCGGUCAUAGUGAUCCGGUGGUUCUUUGUGGAAAGGCCAUCGCGCAAUGGAUAAAAGGUACGCCGGGGAUAACAGGCUAAUGAUCCUCUAGAGCCCCUAUCGACGGGUUCGUUUGGCACCUCGAUGUCGACUCAUCACAUCCUGGAGCUGGAAAAGGUUCCAAGGGUUCGGCUGUUCGCCGACGAAAGUGGUACGUGAGUUGGGUUUAGAACGUCGUGAGACAGUUUGGUCCCUAUCUUCUGUGGGUGUUUGAAAAUUCCGAGGACUAGACCUUAGUACGAGAGGACCGGGAAAACUCGAUCCCUUGUGUUCCGGUUGUUCCCUAAGGGGCAUCGCCGGGUAGCUACAUCGAGAAGAGAUAAUCGACCGUUAGGCGAGAAACUCUCCUCUAGUAAAGUUUUCUAAAGGGGGUGGAAGAUUACCACUUUGAUAGGCGGGAGGUGUAAGAGCUGUAAGGUUUUCAGCUGACCCGUACUAAUCCCUAGAAAAAUAAAAUUAUAUAGUUUUUGC
rnacentral:rRNA from 1 species